rnacentral:rRNA from 1 species
UACGUAGGGUGCGAGCGUUAAUCGGAAUUACUGGGCGUAAAGCGUGCGCAGGCGGUUUUCCAAGACAGAUGUGAAAUCCCCGGGCUCAACCUGGGAAUGGCAUUUGUGACUGGAAGGCUAGAGUGUGUCAGAGGGGGGGUAGAAUUCCACGUGUAGCAGUGAAAUGCGUAGAGAUGUGGAGGAAUACCGAUGGCGAAGGCAGCCCCCUGGGGAUAACACUGACGCUCAUGCACGAAAGCGUGGGGAGCAAACAGG